rnacentral:rRNA from 1 species
UGGGGAAUUUUGCACAAUGGGGGAAACCCUGAUGCAGCGACGCCGCGUGAUUUAGAAGGCCUUCGGGUUGUAAAAAUCUUUUCUAUGGGAAGAAAAUGACAGUACCAUAGGAAUAAGGACCGGCUAAUUACGUGCCAGCAGCCGCGGUAAUACGUAAGGUCCGAGCGUUGUCCGGAAUCAUUGGGCGUAAAGGGUACGUAGGCGGGUAAGCAAGUUAGAAGUGAAAUCCUAUAGCUCAACUAUAGUAAGCUUUUAAAACUGCUCAUCUUGAGGUAUGGAAGGGAAAGUGGAAUUCCUAGUGUAGCGGUGAAAUGCGCAGAUAUGAGGAGGAAUACCGGUGGCGAAGGCGACUUUCUGGCCAUAACCUGACGCUGAGGUACGAAAGCGUGGGUAGCAAACAGG